rnacentral:snRNA from 1 species
AACUUUGCCCAGUGGUAAUAUCAUAACCAGUGAGAUUUAUACAAGUUGCGAUUAUUGCUAACUGAAAACUUCCUAAUAUCCGCCAUGAUGACUUGAAAUACAGUCAGCAUUGGCAAUUUUGGAUAGUCUCUAUGGAGA